GGAAUUGUUCGCAAUGGGCGCAAGCCUGACGACGCAACGCCGCGUGGAGGAUGAAGACCUUCGGGUCGUAAACUCCUUUCGAUCGAGACGAACGGCCUUCGGGUGGAUAAUCCGGGGGAGUGACGGUACCGAAAGAAGAAGCCCCCGCUAACUCCGGGCCAGCGGCCGCGGUAAUACGGGGGGGGCAAGCGUUGUUCGGAAUUACUGGGCGUAAAGGGCUCGUAGGCGGCCAACUAAGUCAGACGUGAAAUCCCUCGGCUUAACCGGGGAACUGCGUCUGAUACUGGAUGGCUUGAGUUUGGGAGAGGGAUGCGGAAUUCCAGGUGUAGCGGUGAAAUGCGUAGAUAUCUGGAGGAACACCGGUGGCGAAGGCGGCAUCCUGGACCAACACUGACGCUGAGGAGCGAAAGCCAGGGGAGCAA
rnacentral:rRNA from 1 species